rnacentral:rRNA from 1 species
UACAGAGGUCCCAAGCGUUGUUCGGAUUCAUUGGGCGUAAAGGGUGCGUAGGUGGCGCGGUAAGUCGGGUGUGAAAUCUCGGAGCUUAACUCCGAAACUGCAUUCGAUACUGCCGUGCUUGAGGACUGGAGAGGAGACUGGAAUUUACGGUGUAGCGGUGAAAUGCGUAGAUAUCAGGAGGAACACCGGUGGCGAAGGCGGCAUCCUGGACCAAUUCUGACGCUGAGGAGCGAAAGCCAGGGGAGCAAACGGG